rnacentral:misc_RNA from 1 species
GUGAAUCAUCGAAUUUUUGAACGCAAAUUGCACUCUCUGGCAUCCCGGAGAGUAUGCCUGUUUGAGGGUCAGUUUAAUAAAAAUCGGCGUGUUGCCUUCGUGAUGCACUGGCGGGUGGGUCUUCUUAGCUUUUGGCUAAGAGUCUUCAACUUGAUAUCUUUUUAGCGCGCUCUUAGACGUACAUAAUUUUUUUGAUUCGUCUAUUUCGGU